rnacentral:rRNA from 1 species
AGGACGAACGCUGGCGGCGUGCUUAACACAUGCAAGUCGAGCGGAAAGGCCCUUCGGGGUACUCGAGCGGCGAACGGGUGAGUAACACGUGGGCAACCUGCCCCUAGCUCUGGGAUAACUCCGGGAAACCGGUGCUAAUACCGGAUAUGACCUCAUUAGGCAUCCUUUGAGGUGGAAAGAUUUAUUGGCUAGGGAUGGGCCCGCGGCCUAUCAGCUUGUUGGUGGGGUAAUGGCCUACCAAGGCGACGACGGGUAGCCGGCCUGAGAGGGCGACCGGCCACACCUGGGACUGAGACACGGCCCAGACUCCUACGGGAGGCAGCAGUGGGGAAUAUUGCGCAAUGGGCGAAAGCCUGACGCAGCGACGCCGCGUGAGGGAUGAAGGCCUUCGGUUGUAAACUCCUUUCGCUCGUGACGAAGCCUUUCGGGGUGACGGUAGCGGGAGAAGAAGCACCGGCUAACUACGUGCCAGCAGCCGC